CUGAUCAGCCAUGCCGCGUGAGUGAUGAAGGCCUUCGGGUUGUAAAGCUCUUUUGUCAGGGAAGAAAAGGUCGUGGCUAAUAUCCACGACUGCUGACGGUACCUGAAGAAUAAGCCCCGGCUAACUACGUGCCAGCAGCCGCGGUAAUACGUAGGGUGCAAGCGUUAAUCGGAAUUACUGGGCGUAAAGCGUGCGCAGGCGGUUUCGUAAGUCUGUCGUGAAAUCCCCGGGCUUAACCUGGGAAUGGCGAUGGAGACUGCGAGGCUGGAGUUUGGCGGAGGGGGGUAGAAUUCCACGUGUAGCAGUGAAAUGCGUAAAGAUGUGGAAGAACACCGAUGGCGAAGGCAGCCCCCUGGGUCAAAACUGACGCUCAUGAACGAAUGCGUGGGGAGCAAACAGGAUUAGAUACCCUGGUAGUCCACGCCCUAAACGAUGUCUACUAGUUGUUGGGUCUUAAUUGACUUAUUAACCCAGCUAACCCGUGAAGUACACCGCCUGGCGAGUACGGUCACAAGAAUUAAAACUC
rnacentral:rRNA from 1 species